GCGGACUGUGCGCGGGCAGCUCUCGGCGCCUCUCCCGCGCGGGACGGGGCCGCGGCAGCGACGCUGGAGGGGCGAAGCCUCCGUCCGGCCGCCCGCACGGAGCUGAGCAGCGCGGAAGGGGCGUCCGCCCGGUUCCUCGGCCUCACUUAGCGGUACCGGGGGCGGGGGCUGAGCUCGGGCGGUGCGGGGCGCGCUGCCGCCCGCCGAUGGCGGAGGGCGAGGCGGUGCUUUGCUGCCACGGGCCGGGAGCUGCAGGAGCCGCCCCGGGCGAGCGGCGCCGGGCGCUCCCGCGGUCCCGGUGGGGCGGCUGCCCUCGGGCUGGCGGAGGCGCAGCAGCCCCCGAGCUGCAGCCGUCUCCCUCGGGCUGCUGCUGGUGCUGCGGGCGCAGGCGGACGAGCGGCUGCGGAGAAAAAAGAGACAUUUUCUUGGUAGAAAAAAAUUUCUACCAAGAGAAAUUUUUCAUCCUGAGAUACAAAAGGGACUGGGGAAUUGUAACUUUGGAGUCCUCUGUGCUAAGGAUGGUCAGCUUACAGAUGAUGGAAUGUUUGGUAAUGCUUCAGCUUGCUGCUUUUGCUUGCUGCUUUUGCUUGCUCUCUUUUUCUGCUCUUGCUUCUGCUCUGCUUUCUGCCUCUGCUUAUUAGCUAGUUCUAGCUAAACAGUCCACAUUGCUUCCUGGACUGUUUCUCCUCUCCUGUUCCUGUGACCAUCUCGAACCUGCUCCGGACUGGGACCCGGGAACACCAAGGGUUCGGCUGCAGCGGCUGGCCCAGUGCCGGAGGGACUGAGAACAGAGCAACCACCCCCGAAAGAGACUUUCUGAUUUUGCCAUCUUUCUCAAAGCGGUGUCAUCGGGUAUUGUUCAUUUUGUGUGCUGGGGGGUGCGGGGCCAGUCAAAUA